rnacentral:rRNA from 1 species
UAAUACGGAGGGUGCAAGCGUUAUCCGGAUUCACUGGGUUUAAAGGGUGUGUAGGCGGGUUAUUAAGUCAGUGGUGAAAUCUCCGGGCUCAACCCGGAAACUGCCAUUGAUACUAUUAGCCUUGAAUUCUGUUGAGGUGGGCGGAAUAUGUCAUGUAGCGGUGAAAUGCAUAGAUAUGACAUAGAACACCAAUUGCGAAGGCAGCUCACUAAACAGCGAUUGACGCUGAGGCACGAAAGCGUGGGGAUCAAACAGGAUUAGAUACCCUGGUAGUCCACGCCCUAAACGAUGAUUACUCGACAUACGCGAUACACAGUGUGUGUCUGAGCGAAAGCAUUAAGUAAUCCACCUGGGAAGUACGUCCGCAAGGAUG